GUGGAAAGCUAAGAGAACAUGUUUUUUUGAUCAUGAAAAGGUUAUUUUCGAAUCAGUUACAGUCCAAAUUAAAUCGAAAAGGAAAUGGGGAAAAGAUAAGCUUAGAAAAUCUAGUAAAUUAUGGAGUGUUUUACGAGAUAUCGGGGACGUGGAAGAAAAUGUUGACGGCAAUGCAGAAAUAUAGUUUCUUAUGUAUAUUUUUGUGAAAUAAAAAUUAAGUAAUGUUAGUUAAAA
rnacentral:lncRNA from 1 species